UCAAGCUGUAAAGGGCGCAAGGGGAAUGCCUUGGCACUGAGAGCCGACGAAGGACGCGACAAGCUGCGAUAAGCUACGGGGAGCCGCAAAUGGGCUUUGAUCCGUGGAUUUCCGAAUGGGGAAACCCGGCAGAGCAAUACUCUGUCAACAUGUACUGAAUACAUAGGUACAUGUGGGGAACCGCCUGAACUGAAACAUCUAAGUAGGGCGAGGAAGAGAAAUCAACCGAGAUUCCGCUAGUAGUGGCGAGCGAACGCGGAAGAGGCCAAACCGGAGGUAGCAAUAUUUCCGGGGUUAGGACUGCAACAUGUAACUUUAAUCUUUAACUGAAUGCUUUGGGAAGAGCAGCGAUACAGGGUGAUAGCCCCGUAAGUGAAAAGGAUUGAGUGCUAGCAGUAUCCAGAGUACCAGCGGACACGUGAAACCCGCUGGGAAGAUGGGGGGACCAUCCUCCAAGCCUAAAUACUACUCAGUGACCGAUAGUGGAGCAGUACCGUGAGGGAAAGGUGAAAAGUACCCCGGGAGGGGAGUGAAAAAGAACCUGAAACCCUGUGCCUACAAGCACCGAGAGUCCGUUAAUGGAUGAUCGGGUACUUUUUGUAGAACGGUCCGGCGAGUUAAUAUUUGCAGCGAGGUUAAGGAACUGGAGUUCUGGAGCCGCAGCGAGAGCGAGUCUGAAAAGGGCGUAUGAAGUUGCAGGUAUUAGACCCGAAACCGGGUGACCUAUCCAUGAGCAGGCUGAAGCGGUGGUAAGACACCGUGGAGGGCCGCACCCACGUCUGUUGAAAAAGCCGGGGAUGACUUGUGGAUAGCGGAGAAAUUCCAAUCGAACUCGGAGAUAGCUGGUUCUCCCCGAAAUAGCUUUAGGGCUAGCGUUAUUUUAGAUUACCGGAGGUAAAGCACUGAAUGGUCUAGGGGCCGCGAGGUUACCAAAGCCUAUCAAACUCUGAAUGCCGGAUAAUUGAUGAAUAGCAGUCAGACUGUGUGAGAUAAGUCUCAUAGUCAAAAGGGAAACAGCCCAGAUCUACAGCUAAGGUCCCAAAUGAACACUAAGUGGAAAAUGAUGUGAAACUGCGAAGACAACCAGGAUGUUGGCUUAGAAGCAGCCACUCAUUCAAAGAGUGCGUAAUAGCUCACUGGUCGAGUGGUUUUGCGCAGAAAAUGUAACGGGGCUAAGUGUUCAACCGAAGCUUAGGCAUUGCAGUAAUGCAUUGGGUAGGGGAGCGUCGUAUGCGGGGCGAAGUCAGAGCGGAAGCACUGGUGGACUGCAUACGAGUGAGAAUGCCGGAAUAAGUAGCGAGAAUUAUGUGAGAAUCAUAAUGGCCGAAAAUCUAAGGUUUCUUGGGGAAGGUUCGUCCGCCCAAGGUUAGUCGGGAGCUAAGCUCAGGCCGAAAGGCGUAGGCGAUGCACAUACGGUAGAAAUUCCGUAACCACCGAACAUUUAAGCUAGAGGGACGCUUUCUUUAAGUCUAUCCCGGGCGAUGGUUGCCCCGGGCGUAAGGGACCGAAAUAUAGUAGGGAAGUAGAUGGCGAGAGAGACGAGAAAAGCUCUAGUGUAUACUAAGGUGCCCGUACCGCAAACCGACACAGGUAGAUGGGAUGAGUAUUCUAAGGCCAACGGGAGAAGGGUUGUUAAGGAACUCGGCAAAUUGGCCCCGUAACUUCGGGAUAAGGGGCGCCUGCGAGAGCAGGCCGCAGUGAAAAGGCCCAAGCGACUGUUUAGCAAAAACACAGCUCUCUGCUAAAUCGAAAGAUGACGUAUAGGGGGUGACGCCUGCCCGGUGCUGGAAGGUUAAGGGGAGUGCUUAGCGCAAGCGAAGGUGCGAACUUAAGCCCCAGUAAACGGCGGCCGUAACUAUAACGGUCCUAAGGUAGCGAAAUUCCUUGUCAGGUAAGUUCUGACCCGC
rnacentral:rRNA from 1 species